rnacentral:tRNA from 1 species
GGAGACGUGGCAGAACGGCUAAUGCGCCGCACUCGAAAUGCGGUGCCCGAAAGGGCUUGGAGGUUCAAAUCCUCCCGUCUCCG